UCUGAGGGGUAGUAGUGGGGGGGUCAAAGAUGUCGUGACAAACAUGAACUUAUAAACUAACUAUAGAAAGGAAAAAACAAAAGAAACAAACCACCUAAUUAACUAACCACCUCACAUCAUGAAGAAGUGGCAUAUCAAACUGACCUGGCAACGAAUCAACAAAUAAAGUAACCAACAAGUAAUACCAGUUGUCACUAACUAACUACUGGGCAACAAACUUCCGCUUUGGAAGACAGGUGAGCCACGAUUGGUUGUUACUUGAGCCCUGAGCAACUUGAUGUCAUUUUCAGUUGACAGAAAGAUGGCUAAAAACGGGUGGAUUUUGCUGCUUAACUCGUAUUCAUCAAACACAAUAUUAAUCAGACUGCCCUGUUUAAACUAGCGGAGGCGCUGUGAACAUUGUAUUGUAAAGGAAACAUUGGAGUUGACUUCCCCUUUAAGAAACCAAGAAAAUAAAAUUACAAGUGAUAACACAAUGUGAUACGUGUACUGAAAAAGUAUGGUGACUGACCUGAAUUCUGAUCGUGUUUCCGCUGCUUAUAGUGAUGUCAUCCACCGUUUUAAUGCCUGUGUGUGUCUCACUGAGGUGCGCUCUUUUUAUUCUCUGGGACGUCCCCUCAUGAAGGUGGGGCCUGGCCCGCCCCGGCCAGGGUUGCGGCGAGCCUCCUGUGCGUACAGGCCAGUUGUUCUAUACGGGGUCAAUGAUUCAGUCCAGGACGUUUAGGCCGCUGACCGAAGGGGUUUGAUGAAAACUUUACAGCCUAUUGAUUAUUGAUAAUCUUAUCUGCGGCCCCCAGCUGCCGCACAGAUAAAAUAUCCCAUGAUGAGCAGCACUUGCCUUUGAACAUUGACCCACUCUGACGUACGUUGAUGGCAUGACUACGUCACUGGAUGGCCCUGGGCGUCUUGUUACCUGAGCCAAUUGAAAAGAUUAUACAGAAGGAAGGUGACACGAUCACAACACGGUCACGCCAAUGAUGCCACACACGGAGCGUGUUAUGUAAGGCCCUCAACGCUGUGGUUUAUGGACUAACCUCUCAAUUGCAUCAUUCAUCAAGUUGUAAAAGAAAACACAAAACAUCCUCUGAAUCUUUACACCGCUAAUUAAAAGACUUUGGAGACACUGCGAGUGCUUACAUCAGCACAAGACAUUGCAACUGGACUCGCCAAUAGUCAAUCGCUUCAACAACACCAAACACGAUUCUGAAACGGACCAAUUUUUAACCCAGAUGAUUUUCAAUUCUAUUUAUUUUCAAUCCAUUUUUUUAAUUCUAAGGAUUUUUAGCUGUAAUCAUUUUGAACCGUGAACUUAGUUUGUUAGCUAGCUUGUAACUGUGUUUUUUCAUUUAUUAGUAAUCUUGUUGGUUUGUCAGCCAGUUUGACAGAUCUAGCAGUUUGUUAAUUUGUCGCCUGGCUUAUUUGUUGAGUAAUUUCUUAGCUAGUUUGUUCAAUAUUACGUUAACGACAGUUAGCUUGUUGUUCAAUAAUGGGUUAGCUAGUUAGUCAGUUUGUUUGCUAUUUUUUU